UGGCUCAGAACGAACGCUGGCGGCAGGCCUAACACAUGCAAGUCGAGCGCUCGGGGCAACCCGGGAGCGGCAGACGGGUGAGUAACACGUGGGAACGUGCCCUUCGGUUCGGAAUAACUCAGGGAAACUUGAGCUAAUACCGGAUACGUCCGCAAGGAGAAAGAUUUAUCGCCGAAGGAUCGGCCCGCGUCUGAUUAGCUAGGGGAGAAGUAUUUCUCCUCCUAGGCGAUGUUCAGUAGCUGGUCUGAGAGGANGAUCAGCCUCAC
rnacentral:rRNA from 1 species